AGGUUAUUCCUUUCUCCCAAUCUCCCGCGGUUGUGCAGCUCCCAAAUGCCAAUCAUCGCCUCCUUUCCAAUCUCCUCCUAGAACUAAAUUCCCAGCGGAAUGGCCCCUUUACAAUCCACUUGCUGUCGUCCAUGCCGUCCACGGCCUCGGCCACGGCGAGCAAAUCCGAGGCGGCCGCGACCAAGACCAGGCCUUCCAAUACCUCAUCGAUCCCGCGAUCUAUCUCGUGGAUCUGCUUUUGAUUUUCAUAUGAACAAUACCUGGUGCUUUAUUGCUGAGAUCUUAUUAAUAUUAUUACUACCGUGACUCUGUAUCCCUGACGCUAGUUGAUUAUUGGUAUCACCCGUUAUCUCUCAGAUUGUAUACUUUUUCAUUUAGGUUGCUACUUGUUCCAGCUCAUUUAGGUAGAUAUUAUUUGCGCAUGAGAUGUGUUUUGGCGAUCCUGAGUUAGAUGCCCUCACGCAUAAUACGCAGUACACCUGAAGUACUUAUUCUAUUAGAUGCUAGUCAUGGAAAUCAUCUGUGACCGAGUAGCUGGUGCCUGUGUUGAUUGUCCAGUACUCGGAUGCUUGUAUGGUCAUCUGGCGUUAGUUUUCAAUGAACUUGCAUUGAGCGUUUUGUCACAAGCACCUUUUACAAAUAAAAUGGUGUUAGUUCUUUUUUUUGUGUGGAUUCAGCUCAUGUUUCUCUAAGCAGGGCUCAUUCUGUUGAAUAUCAUGUCCUGGCUUGUAUGUUUUCAUAAGCAUCCACAGUUACUUUUAGAUUUUUCUGCCAAGCCAUGCAUGUUCAAUAGCUAUACCGAUAAAAUAUUUCCUUCAUUUGGUUUCUUUGUAUAUUCUGGUGUCACUCAAGUUAUUGCAUAAAUUACAGUAAUCGAUAAUAUCCUUCGGUUGACUUUCGAUCAUAAAUAACAGUAGUGUUGUUUUCUAAUUUGAGGCGUCCUGCCUGAGCGUUGCUUGAUCGUGCAAACAUGCAGGAGAGGAUUAACUUGGAGCGUGCUGAGAGAGAACAACUUGAGGAGAGGUUACAAGAAAAGCGUGUUGAAAGGGAAAGAAUGUUGGAAGAGAAGCAAAGAUCAAGACUGGAAUUAAAAAAAAAACAUUGUGGCAAAGUUCAGCCAACUAAUGGCUAAAUUAAGCCAAAAAAUGGGAAACCAAUAGGUGCUUAAGAAGAGGAAUGACAAAGAAAAUAGUAAUCCAAAUUUGCAAACUACUCUACAGAGCUCUAGUCCUAGUAGGAAUCUAGGAGCAAAGCCAAAUGUGAUUUCUUCAACUUCACUCUUACAAGUUGCAACACUGAAUUCUAGAUUUUACAAAGCAAUGGAACCAAAGAAAUAGCUGGAGAGGGUAGAAGUAAUGGGAAUACGCACCUAGAGUAGAGAUUUCAAGAAUCACGAUGGUGAUAUACUAUACAUCAUGGACAGUUUAGUCUUACACUUAAUUAGGAUGGCUACACUUUACUUGAGUUUCAUUUGAUGAAUAUUUACUAUCAGAAUUUUGAUUUGUAUGA